UGGAUCCAGACUUUGAUUCUGGCUCAGGAUGAACGCUAGCUACAGGCUUAACACAUGUAAGUCGAGGGGCAGCAUGAACUUAGCUUGCUAAGUUUGAUGGCGACCGGCGCACGGGUGAGUAACACGUAUCCAACCUUCCGUUUACUCAGGGAUAGCCUUUCGAAAGAAAGAUUAAUACCUGAUAGUAUGGUGAGAUUGCAUGAUAGCACCAUUAAAGAUUUAUUGGUAAACGAUGGGGAUGCGUUCCAUUAGGUAGUAGGCGGGGUAACGGCCCACCUAGCCGACGAUGGAUAGGGGUUCUGAGAGGAAGGUCCCCCACAUUGGAACUGAGACACGGUCCAAACUCCUACGGGAGGCAGCAGUGAGGAAUAUUGGUCAAUGGGCGAGAGCCUGAACCAGCCAAGUAGCGUGAAGGAUGAAGGUCCUACGGAUUGUAAACUUCUUUUAUACGGGAAUAAAGUAUCCUACGUGUAGGA
rnacentral:rRNA from 1 species